UUGUCAUACUGUGUGUCAGAUACUUAGCCGGAUUCUUUGUACACUGACAACCCUAGACUAAAUAUCAUCAUCAUCAUCAUCAUGAUCAUCAUCAUCAUCAUCAUCAUCAUCCCUGCUUUACAAAUGAGGAAAUGGAGGCUUGGAGAGUUCUCUGACUUGGCUGUAGUCAUAGGGAGAUAAUGUUUUCAAGGUGUAUCCAUAUUGCAGUAUGUGAGAACUCCAUUCCUUAGUCGAUGGACAUUUGAAUGAUUUCCACCUUUGCCUAUUGUCAACAGUGCUGCUAUGAACAUCUGUGUACAAGUUUUUAAAACUAAUUUAUUCUUUAAAA